UAACACGUGGGUAACCUGCCCAAGAGACUGGGAUAACACCUGGAAACAGAUGCUAAUACCGGAUAACAACACUAGACGCAUGUCUAGAGUUUGAAAGAUGGUUCUGCUAUCACUCUUGGAUGGACCUGCGGUGCAUUAGCUAGUUGGUAAGGUAACGGCUUACCAAGGCAAUGAUGCAUAGCCGAGUUGAGAGACUGAUCGGCCACAUUGGGACUGAGACACGGCCCAAACUCCUACGGGAGGCAGCAGUAGGGAAUCUUCCACAAUGGACGAAAGUCUGAUGGAGCAACGCCGCGUGAGUGAAGAAGGGUUUCGGCUCGUAAAGCUCUGUUGGUAGUGAAGAAAGAUAGAGGUAGUAACUGGCCUUUAUUUGACGGUAAUUACUUAGAAAGUCACGGCUAACUACGUGCCAGCAGCCGCGGUAAUACGUAGGUGGCAAGCGUUGUCCGGAUUUAUUGGGCGUAAAGCGAGUGCAGGCGGUUCAAUAAGUCUGAUGUGAAAGCCUUCGGCUCAACCGGAGAAUUGCAUCAGAAACUGUUGAACUUGAGUGCAGAAGAGGAGAGUGGAACUCCAUGUGUAGCGGUGGAAUGCGUAGAUAUAUGGAAGAACACCAGUGGCGAAGGCGGCUCUCUGGUCUGCAACUGACGCUGAGGCUCGAAAGCAUGGGUGGCGAACAGGAUUAGAUACCCUGGUAGUCCAU
rnacentral:rRNA from 1 species